rnacentral:miRNA from 1 species
UAGUGUAAACGCACUUCGGCCUGGCCUAGGUCAGGAAACCUGGAACACCUGUUCUGAUAGGCCCAGAUUUCCUGACCUAGGCCAGGCCGAAGUAC